GACGAACGCUGGCGGCGUGCUUAACACAUGCAAGUCGAACGAUGAAAGAGAAUCCGAUCUCUUCGGAGUGAAGAAUCUCUGGAUUAGUGGCGGACGGGUGAGUAACGCGUGAGCAAUCUGCCUUACACAAAGGGAUAGCCUCGGGAAACCGGGAUUAAUACCAUAUGAUAUCUAUUAACCGCAUGGUCUAUAGAUUAAAGAAUUUCGGUGUAAGAUGAGCUCGCGUCCCAUUAAUUAGUUGGUGAGGGUAACGGCCCACCAAGAUAGCGAUGGGUAGCCGAUCUAAGAGGAUGACCGGCCACAUUGGAACUGAGAAACGGUCCAAACUCCUACGGGAGGCAGCAGUGGGGAAUAUUGCACAAUGGGGGAAACCCUGAUGCAGCGACGCCGCGUGAGCGAUGAAGGCUUUCGAGUCGUAAAGCUCUGUCCUAUGGGAAGAUAAUGACGGUACCAUAGAAGAAAGCCCCGGCUAAUUACGUG
rnacentral:rRNA from 1 species